AUUGAACGCUGGCGGCAGGCCUAACACAUGCAAGUCGAACGAGUGGCGGACGGGUGAGUAAUGUCUGGGAAACUGCCUGAUGGAGGGGGAUAACUACUGGAAACGGUAGCUAAUACCGCAUACCCUCGGAUGUGCCCAGAUGGGAUUAGCUAGUAGGUGGGGUAAAGGCUCACCUAGGCGACGAUCCCUAGCUGGUCUGAGAGGAUGACCGGCCAAGCGGGAAAGGAGAAUCAGUGCAAGCUCGUAGGAGAAGCGGCAGGGGGGAAGAUUGCAGGAUGGCCGAAGGCCUGCAGCAGCGAUGCCGCGUGUAGGAGCAGGGAAAUAAGGUUUUUAAGUACUUACGACGGGGAGGCGUACCACGUAGAAGAAGAACCGGCUGACUCCGUGCCAGCAGCCGCGGUAAUAC
rnacentral:rRNA from 1 species